GGACCUAGUGUAAAACCCCUCCCCCACAGGCACCCCAAAAGGGGAAAUCUGCGGAGGGAAGGGAACAGGAAGUUUUAGUGGCUGGGAGAGAUUCUGAAAAGGCUUUCCCAGGCAGCCCUGGUGGGUACAAGAGGCAAGGGCAGUUGGAUUCACCUAACUGGCCUCCACCUCCCUGAAAGGGGAUGCAGGAAGAAGGGGAGUGCCCUGGCCCACGGCUCCCUGCGUGACCUGGAGCCCCUCCAGGGCUUCGUCUGCCAGUCUGACCAAGGGUAGCAGAUGACAGGCUCUGAGAGGGCCUUUGAGGCCCUGACCUCAGGGUUCUAGGAGCCCGUCAUUGUAAGCAGCCUGACCUGGGGUGGGGUGGGGGUGGGGAGGGUGUUCCCGGCUCCCCCUCCCCCACAGACUGCAGCAGGAACCAAGGCCCAAGCGCCUUCUGAAGGCUCGGUCACAAAGCGCGGUAGUCGGUCACCGGUUACCACAUAAGCCAAGCCCUUGAUCUGCUGUGUUUGAGGAAACUCUUUGUUCCUUUCAAGCCUCUAUUCUCUCAGCUGGGGCUGGUGCACAGACCGAAGCACCACUAUUUUCGAAGCACUUGCUAGGCUGUGAACAAAGCAGAGUUCCUGACCUCCAUCCAACAUGUUGGGGAGACAGACAAUAAGCAAAUAAGCAGAGAGAACUACAUCGGAUGUCAGGUGGUGAGCAGAGCGAUGAAGAAAUAUGAAGCCGCGUAAAACAAUGGAGAGUGACAGGGUGUGGGCGUAGGCGCUCCUCGUAGGUAAGGUCAUCGGAGGAGGGCUUCUGGAGCACGACACUGGAGCAGAGACCUCGGUGAAGCGAGAGAAUCUCUGAGAGCCCAUCCCUCUGAGGCUUUGAGGCUAAACUGGUUUGACACUAACAUACUAAUCUGCGUUGUGUACGAUUCUAGAAUUCCACGACUCUAAGAACCUCUAACUAAAAUUACACAUUUCUACUGUUCUCGCCUCCCAUGAAAAUGAUUCUAGAAUUUUGUGAUUCUGAAAUGUUAGGAUUCACUGAAGCAUCUUUUUGCUUGAAUAGACCAGGAUUCAUUGCCUACCCUCUCCCCGCUACCCCCAGGAAAUGGAGCUGAAAAUAGAAACCGUCAAAACAACAAGCCAUUCCAGCUCUAAGUGCCAUAGUAAACAAAUGGUCCAAUGUUGCUCUGAUGGUUUAAUUGCAGCAGCUCCAGACAAGCCCAUUCAUGAGGGAUCAUCAGUUGAUGGAGAGGAGGAGUGAGCCCCUUGGGAGAAGGGGUGGCUUGCGGCCGGCCCUGGGGUGGGGCAGGUCUGUACCAGCGGCCGACGCUCUGGAUGUCUCUCUCUGGCCCCUUUGGCUUUGGGGAUCAAGAUGGUGGACAUUUUGACGAGGAGUGUCAAGAGAGGCCUCUCUGAGGAGGUAGCAUUAAAGCCGCACCUGACGACUGAUAGGAUGCCAGGUUCACAGCCGGGGGGGGCGGGGGGGGAGGGAAACAGUCCCAGGUAGAGAGAAUAGCAGAUUCAAAGGGUGAGAGAGCUUGGCUGGUUCCCAAAGCAAUUGGAGGAGAGGAAAAUGAGAUGAGAUCAGAAGGUCAGGAAGGGGCUGGAUCCUACAGGGGUUUGUCGGCUAGGAUUGGGAACGUGGAAGCUACUGGAAGGUUUUAAACAGUGAGUGAUGUGAUGUAAUUCCAUAUUUAAAAGAUCCUGGGUGCUCUAAGUACAGUGGACUAUGGGGGGGUGGGGCACGUGUGGAAGCUGGAAGGCCAGUAAGAGACUGCGGUGUUUGUCCCCGGAAGGAGUGGCAGCGGCUUGGAUCUACAUGGUAGCAGGUCGAUCCAUCUGUUCACCCAUCCCUUCUUUCUGCCCUCCCUUCCUCAUCCCUUCAUCGAUCCAUUCAUUAACCGAACACUUAUUAAGUGUCUAUGGGGAGCCAGGCACAAUGCUGGGCUUAUAAAGACGAAUUAAACGUGGUUUCCGACCGCAAGGAGCUCACAGAACGGCAGGUCCCUGACCCUGCAAUGUAACGGUAACGAAUGUCCCGGUGCAAAGUACCCCGCGGGCUCAUGGGACGUGAUUCACUGAGGCUGGGAUGUUGGAAAAGGCCUCGUGGAGGACAUGUUGGUGUCUGAGAUGUUGGAAGGUCUGAGAUGUUGGAGGGGCAGCUCGGGGAAGGGUGAGGAGGCAGCACGAGUGAGUGUCCUGCAAAUAUGUGGCUGUCCAGGUUGGUGGGAUCAACGACCAGGUGCGUGGAGGGACACCACAGGAAAGGGGUUCUGGGCCAGCUUGGGGAGGGGUGGGGACACAUGCCUGUGACUUCCUGCUCAGCUCCGCCUGCCCCUACCGGAGCAGAGUAAUUUAAUUAAGUACCAGCCCUUAAACAAGAUGCAGCUGUUUAGCAGAUGUUGCCUUUCACCCCAGAUGGAGGCACAUCUUGGCAACGGGCACAGCGUUUCCAGGGCGCUUAAUUUGUAAGGCUGCGGAGAGGAAAGAAAUUCAAGAUGCGGCCAUUAUUAUUUAAUGGCCAUCGUUCAUGACACACACCCCCACCCCCCCAGCACCAUGGCCACAUGGCCACCAUUCCUGUUGGCUCGGACUGGAGACAGAGGCAGGCCCCCGGGGAGGGUGAUUUGCUGGUUCUCACUCAGAGAAUAAGAGAAGAAAAGCGGAGGAAAAGGUCACCAAUCUGCAGAACCCCCAAGAACGUUUAUGUGAGUGGGAAGCAGCAACUUAUCCCUCACUUUGCGCGAAAGGGGCACAAUCGGUAACCACGAUCUAUUGAACUCUAACUCAAGAGCCAGGCGCUGUGCCAGGUGCUUACACAUACCUUGUCUCUGCCUCUCUAAUCCUCCCAACAGCCACGCUCGGUCCUACCUCAGGGCCUUUGCCCUUGCUUUCUCCCCUGGCGGAGGAACACUCUUCUUUCAGAGGCCCACAGGGCUAAUUCCCCAAAGACCUUCAGGCCUCACAGUAAAUGUCGCCUCCCCAUAGAGUCCUUCCCUGACCAGCCUACAUAAAAAGCACCUUUCUCCAUAAGUCUCCACCCCUUACCUUACUUGCUUGCUUUUCCUUUUCCUUCAUUACCAUAUAUAUAUAUAUAUAUAUAUAUAUAUAUAUAUAUAUAUCCUGUGUCUGUUUCUCUCCUCUAGAGUUUAAAUUUCCAAGGGCAAGGAUUUUUGUCUGUUUUAUUCCUUGCCAGCUCUCCAAUAUGCACAAGAAUGCCUGACUCAAGACAGAAUCCUAUAAAUAUUUGUUCAAUGGGUAGAGAAAUGAUCAAUGGAUCUCACCGAACAUAUAAAAAGAUGGUCAGGGAGACAAAAUUACUCUCCCAAGAGUUACACAGCCGGCAAGGGGUGAGUUGGGAUUUGAGUUUGGGUCUGUCCCUUUCCUUGGGACGUUUCCUUUUCCGUAGCACUUAUCACCACUUAUGUAUUAUUUCUGGGCCUGUGUUUGGCGUCUCUCUCCUCUCCCACCGGAAUGGGGGCUCCAGUGAGAACAGAGUUCAUGUGUUUUGCUCAUAGUUGUCUCCCCAGCACCCAGACAGCGCUCCCCAGCACCCAGGAAGCAGCUCAUAAAUAUACACUGAGCGACACUUCAUUCUCACAAGUAAUCCUGCAAAGUAUGCUUCCUCUGUGCUAUUUUACACAUGGGGACAUUGAGGCUCAACCAGAGAAGUGAUUUGCCUUGCUUAAGGUCAACUGGCUAAUGAAUAGAGAGCUGGGAUUUGAACCCAGGCCUCCUGAGCUCAUUGGUCAUGGAGAAGGGGACCCCCAUUUAACGCUUGCUGGUUCGACUCACCCAAAGGCAACAGCUGCUUGGCCGAAAGCUCCACUCACACCCUACCAGGGAAGGCAUUUCCCCCUCAAGGUCAGCAGUGUCAGGGCCGAUGUGAAACUCACCCUUAAUGCACAACUCCCCAGUUUCGUCCAUUUAAGUGAAAACUUUGAUGUUAUUUUAACCCAAAUCCCCCGUUGACUUCAAUGGAAGCUUUGAAUCCACGAGGAAGGUCAGACAGUGUUUUUGGAGGUAACAUGGGCACCCAAUGGAAAUCAUAUUAGCAUACUCAUUAUCAUCAGGGCCCUUUGAAUGUGUUUUUUAGCUGCUCCCUUAAAGUUGACUUGGUGACAAUGGAUCCUUUCUGUUCAGGAAUCACUGGGCCAGAGUGGAGCUGCGGUCGGCUCCUGUGUGCUUUUCUGUGCUUUUCAAAUGAUGACAGUGAACCCAUGUUGCAUAAGGUAAUGGAAAGAACGCCAUCCACCAGGCACCCUGGUGGUGAAUGAAGUACAUUGUCUGGGUUUGAAAGAAAUAACUCUUUAAGUCACUUGUGCUGGGACCCCAGGGAUGGGCUCAGGUAACAAAAGGUGUUGCUAAACGGCCUUCCAAGAAAGCUGGCCCCUGUUAACGGGAGGCCCCUGGGCGCAGCAAAAAAAAUAAAAAAUAAAAAAAAAUUAAAAAAUCAGGGAUUGGCCUUGGUUGACAAGAUGGUUGUUCAACUUGAGAAAAUUCCAGAAUUGCCUGGGGAGCAUUUACUACACCCAGUGCCCAGCGCCCCCACAUCAGACCAUUUGGUUCCAAAUCCUGGGAAGUGGGGAGACCAGAAGGCAUCAAAGGUUUCUAAGUGUCCUCAGAUGACUCCGGUAGGCCAAGCGGCAGCUAGGAAAUGUUCAAACUACGGAAAAGUGGACAGAAUCGUACGACGACCCCACUACCUGGUACCAGCCUCAUCAAUCAGCAACACGGAGUCCCUCUGGUGUGAGGGGGUUUAAGAAUCCCUAAUUUCAGCAGGACAUGUGGCAGCCCAGAAUGAAGAUUACACUUCCCUGCUUUCUUCCCGAAUCCUAGCCAUGCUGGACCAUGUGAUGAAUUAAAGAUGGCUACUGAUUCUUUGGUCCUUCUUCCUUCAAGAGGAAGAGUUUGUUUGGACUUCCCCUCCUCUUAAAUCUGGGCUGGCCUGUGACUUAUUGGACCAACAGAAUACAGUGGAAAUGAUGCUCUGCCAAUUCCGGACGUUGGCCCUUAAGGAAACUGGCAGAUUCUGCCAUGGUCUCUUGGAUCCAUGGCUGACAAGGAAAAGGUCCAACCACUCUGCUGGAGAGACCCCCCUGGAGAAGCCCUAAGACCUCACGGAAAGGAAUGAGGGACCCGGCUGAGCUCAGCACUGCGGUCUUCCCAAACCAUCUUGGUCCUCCAGAUAAAACCAAUCAUCAGCUGAACGCGGCCAAGUGACUAGUCAACGCCCAUGGAUCAGAAGGACCGCCCAGCUGAGCCCUGGCCGAAUUUCAGACCCGCAAAACUGUAGAAAAUAAUAAACAUGAUUAUUGUUUGGGGAGUGUCUGUUGGGUACCAAUACAUAACCAGAACAGACCAUGAGAUAGAAGGUAUUUGUUGAGGAUGCUGUAACAAUUACACCAUCUGGAGGUCUGGCCGCCUCCGGAUAGUUUGUCCUACACGAAAAGUAGACUCUGUUUGUUUAAGCUUUGAUGAUACCUUGGGUCGUGGCUCAUGGCCUCAGUUUCCCCACAAUUAUUCAUUGGAGCAUUAACGCCUGCCCUGUUACCUCCUUUUGCAUGUAAUACAAACAGUGCGUAUCCAAAAAGACCAUGGGGCAUGCCCAAGUCGUUAUGAUACAUUUCAUGUGUCCGUAAUCGGAUACGAACUUGUCAGGGGGCCAACUGCAAUGGGUUUUGGAAUCAGAUAUGUUGGGACUGGAGGCUCAACUCUGCUACUUUCUAAUGUGAAAAAUCGGACCAGCCACUGAAUCUCUCUGAGCUUUGUUUCCUCAUCAAUAAAAAACAGACGAUGCCUA